rnacentral:rRNA from 1 species
CGCGUAGGCGGUUGGGUAAGUCUGAUGUGAAAUCCCCGGGCCCAACCCGGGAACGGCAUUAGAAACUGCCCGGCUGGAGGGUUGGAGGGGGGACUGGAAUUCCCGGUGUAGCAGUGAAAUGCGUAGAUAUCGGGAGGAACGCCAGUGGCGAAGGCGGGUCCCUGGACAACACCUGACGCUGAGGCACGAAAGCUAGGGGAGCAAACA